UACGAAGGGGGCUAGCGUUGCUCGGAAUUACUGGGCGUAAAGCGCACGUAGGCGGAUUGUUAAGUCGGGGGUGAAAUCCUGGAGCUCAACUCCAGAACUGCCUUCGAUACUGGCGAUCUCGAGUUCGGGAGAGGUGAGUGGAACUGCGAGUGUAGAGGUGAAAUUCGUAGAUAUUCGCAAGAACACCAAGUGGCGAAGGCGGACUCGCUGGCCCACUAGUACCGUGACGACCUGGAGGCCACGAAAGGCCG
rnacentral:rRNA from 1 species